UAGCCGCACCCCCCGAUUCUCUCUCUUCCCUUUUCCUCUCUCUCUCUCCUCGCAAAAAUGGUGAAGAUCACAGUCUCUUUCGCCUUCCCCAGACCGUGCAUGGUCGAUUUGGGAAGGGAAAUUAAUGCUUGUCCCUUUCCCCGUUAGUGUUCAACCAGGUAUAUGCGAGUUCAAAUUUCGUAGUGUUCGAGGAUAGAUCGAAGACUUAAAACCAGUUCACUGCACCCGAAGAAGGUAAAACUUCCUCCUUAUAGUUUAGUUUUAAUAAUUUUAAUGGUGUUCAUAUGUUUGUAUGUGUUUGUGUGGUAUUAGUUUGCUAGAUUAAUUAUUAGUUUAGCCUAUCAUUAGUCUUUGUAAUAGAAGUCUGCUUUGGUUUAGUCUAAUAUAGUGUCAUUUAAUUUCUUAUGUGUUGGCUAAUGGCUGUGUUGUAUGAUUAGCUUGAUUUAGUUUGAUUAGCGUUAAUGGUAGUUUAAGGGUGUACUGUUUAAUUAGUCUUUACGUAUGUUGAAUCUAAAAAAAUCAUAUAUGUUCGAGUGUCAGUCAAUAUUAGUCUAGUUCCUUUGUUAUAUAAACAUGUCAUUCCCUUAUUGCAAAAGUAAUAUCGUGUCAAAAUGAUUAAUAUGUUUAGAUUAGUUUAUAGGCUGCAUAUUUAUUUAACUCGUUUAUCUUGGCCCUUUGGUGGUUAGUAGCAGUUCAAUAUGUUUAUAUACCCAGAUUCAAUUGGGGUUUAGAUAAGUAUAUAGGGAUUUGACUUUUAAACUGUAGUGUUAAAUGCUAUUGUUAACCUACAUCUUAUCUUCAGCAUGUUUAAGGGUCUAGUUGACAUUUGAUUUGUUUAGAAUGUCCAUCAUUUAUUGAUUCCUUAAUGGUACUAGUCCAGUCAAUGUUCAAAUAGAAGUUGAGUUCAUCGCCUAGGUCCUCUAUUUGUUAGAAUUAAACUUAAGUGGCAUGAAACUGUCUAGUGCAGCUUUAGGCAUGGUUUCAUUUAUAUUUGAUAAAAACUAUCUAAUAGUAUUGUAUUGAGUUGAUAUGCCUCUACUGAGGUCUUUUAAUGAACAUUUCCUGUUUGCUUUCAACUGAUUUGAGCCUAGUAUGGAAUAUGUGUUUGAUUUAACUCUAUGAAGGAUAAUAUGUUAGUAUGAGUAUCUACAAGCCUGUGAUAUGUGAUAUUUUUCCUCUUUAAAAAUACUGGUAAUGCUUGUUAAGGUUGGUUCUUAUGAUAAAAAUGGUCCAGGAUUAGUCUUUGAGUCUGUUGUCAUGUCUGCUGUCAAACGUAUACUCACAUUUCCAUGCUAAUGCCAUAUUUUUAUGUUGUAUGAAAUUUGAUAGUACCUAUACUGGUUCUAGUUGUCUUUACUGUGUAUUGGUGGUAUAGUGUGGCUAUUUUUAGGUUCAAACUGAGACUUAGAUGUGCAUAUAAGAGUUGAAUUAAAAGGCACUGGUUUAGAUGUUCGUAAGGGUUAGCUCUUGUCAUGUAAAGUUUUUCCUAUUCACUAUCAUCCUCAGCCUUGUUUGAGUCAUGUCUGGAUCUCUGAUUUUUUUUCUUUCUUGCUUAACUUUGAAACACUGCCAUCAUCGACGAUUAGGCAUGAUCUUCGAAAGCAUAGCAACCUUAUUUGUCAUUGUAUCUUAUGUCCCUCUAUGCCUCUUACUAUGUUAACUUGUCGUGAAUAAUUGAGUUGGGGUUGGGCUUCUGCAUUUGUUUCAGUUCUUUUUUUUACUAUUUUGUUUAGGAAGUCGUUAACAUAUUCACUAAAGCAGUUUGCUGUUUUAAUUAAGUCAUUAGGUCGUUAAUGGACUGUUGUAAUAUGUUCACUAAAAUCAAGUUAUGUUGCUGUCUGUUCAAUUUUCUUUAUGAUCCUUACAUUAUAAGCACGUCGCGUUUGACUGAGUCAUGUAUACCCAUGUAUAUAAUCAGUAUAUUUUAGUUAAUACGUUUCUGGGGAGAUUAGUUGGUCAUUAUGGAUCAAGCUUGAACCCUCCCCGGUGUUAGCCAUGCCUGGGAUUCAUGAAAUCCCUUGGAACUUGUGCAACAUCGGGAAGACGGGUGCAAAAGCUUUCCGAUAUUAACCCCCUAAGCCUCCUUAUGAAUGUAUAUACGGAAUAUACUCAAAUAUACAUAGCGAGUAUACAAGUCGCUGAUUUGUUUGUUUGAGUUUACCUUUUAUAUAUUUGACCUCAUUCAUUGAUUAGAUACUAAUCCUUUUCCUUUCAUUUAUGCAUGAUCAUCGCAUACGAGUCCUAGGGACUCGUUCUUCUUCCGCAUUCGGUGUUGGGCCAAGGCCCAACGAAACAUUACUUCUCUCUCUGUCCAACCCUGUCCGCAGCAAAAACGAAAAAGAAAGAAAUGAAAAUUUCUAGGCUAAAGCCCAAUAGCAUGAACAGUUCGCAGCAGUCUUAAAAAUGGGCUGAGCCCAUUCCCAACAGCAUCACUGAUCGCAGCAGCCUUAAAAAAUGGGCUGAGCCCAUUUUAUUUUAUUUACGCCUCUACUUUGUUUUUGUGCAUUUAAUUUGUAUUAUUCGACUAACCCUUUACUGUGUUUUGUUAAUUUAGAUGAACCUUAGCGAAAUUAGUGGGGUUUAGUUUUAGUAAUGGGUAGUUAAUUUAAGGAAAACCAACAGUUAAUUCCAUAAGAUUUUAUUCUCUCUUUCUUUUGUUAAA